UACGUAGGCAGCAAGCGUUGUUCGGAGUUACUGGGCGUAAAGGGUGUGUAGGCGGUUUUCUAAGUUUGGUGUGAAAUCUCCCGGCUCAACUGGGAGGGUGCGCCGAAAACUGGGAGGCUAGAGUACUGGAUGGGAGAGUGGAAUUCCUGGUGUAGCGGUGAAAUGCGUAGAUAUCAGGAGGAACACCUGUGGUGUAGACGGCUCUCUGGACAGUAACUGACGCUGAGACACGAAAGCGUGGGUAGCAAACAGG
rnacentral:rRNA from 1 species